GAAAUGGUCCUUUUCAGGACCACCAAAAAGAGGCCAACAUGAGAUA
rfam:Aedes aegypti strain Liverpool supercont1.152 genomic scaffold, whole genome shotgun sequence.